GUGCUUGUUUCAGCAGCACAUAUACUAAAAUUGGAACGAUACAGAGAAGAUUAGUAUAGCCCCUGUGUAAGAAUGACAUGCAAAUUUGUGAAGCAUUCCAUAUUUAA